AUAGAUAUGGCGUUAUGCG
rnacentral:tRNA from 1 species